rnacentral:lncRNA from 1 species
GAAAAUGUGAGAAACCAGACUAAGCGCACCCUGUGUUUAGCGGACUGUGUCUAUGUUACCCUGCAUACGUGUUCUCUUGGCACAUUUUCUCUGUUUAUAGGUCUUUCAUUAUUGAAUAAAUAACGAAUAGUUGAAGUUAGAAAUAAGUUGAGCGAGGUCCAUCCAACUUUACAGCGUAAGCUGGAAGAGAGAAUUACACAAACCUCCGAUUCCUAAACAGAGAUUUCAGUAAACACCACUGAUGUGUAAAGAUGGGGGACGUAGCAGAUGGAGAUCCGCAAACGAAGGCCAUGAGAGGUCGGGACGGUUGUGAAGGAGCUGCAUGACUAUGUCUUCUGACUGUGCUUCCUGUCAGCUGCUGUUCUGUUAACCCGGGGAAAUGCACUGAUCUAAAAAGCCUGUUCAGGCUGGGGAAGCCGCUCAAUGGUAGUGUGCCUUGCAUGUCCAAGGCCUGGGGUUAAUCUCCAGCAAUGCCAAAAAGUAAAUAGGUAAAUAGCCUGCUUAUUGCUUCGUGGAGUGGUGAUCAAAUAUUCAGUAUAUCUCUUUUUUUUGUAACAGUUAUCUCAUACAACAAAAGAAAUCGAAAUUAUCCAGAGAAAGAUAAAACUAGAGACACGUGGUACACACUGGGCGUCCAAAGGCGGGAACAUCAUUCUUCAGCAGCUUCUGCUAGCACAAAGUCAAAGUGGCAAAAUCCUUUUUUUCCCUUUGGUUUAGAGUUUGGCCUAUCUGUGUGAACAUGCUUAUGCAUUUUCAACUUUUUAACUUGAAAGUACUAUACAUUUUAGAGGCCAGAAGUCUGACUGAGGUCUUUUGAUAUUUUGAAACAUUUUGAGGGGGCAAAAAGUAUAUUUUUCUUGAUAGCACAUUACUCACUUAAUGACCAUUAUUCGCAUGCUUUACCUGCAGUAUUUUGGUUGCAAUGCUUUUUCUUUCUUCUAGAACAAAAGAAUGAAAUGACUUUGCAGUGAGUUAGAGGAGAAACAUGAAGCCUCUAAGCUGCACCUGCAGCAGCUGUCAACCAGUUACAGAAAUCAGCUGCAGCAGAAAGAGGUAAAAGUCAUCGCACUCACUUCGCAUUGAUUUCAGUCUCACUCUCAGAUCCAUAAAGAUAUUGAAGCUAACACAACUGUGAGCUUUGCUGUUAAGUUUACGUGACAUACACUGAUCUCGGGG